UGGCUCAGUUGGUAGAGCAUGGCGCUUGCAACACCAGGGUUGUGGGUUCAAUUUCCAU
rnacentral:tRNA from 1 species